GCCUAGGUGGCUCAGUCGGUUGAGCAUCUGACUUCAGCUCAGGUCAUGAUCUCCCAGUUUGUGAGUUCGAGCCCCGCAUCGGGCU
rnacentral:tRNA from 1 species